GACGAACGCUGGCGGCGUGCUUAACACAUGCAAGUCGAACGAAGAGCGAUGGACGCUUGCUUCUAUCAAUCUUAGUGGCGAACGGGUGAGUAACGCGUAAUCAACCUGCCCUUCAGAGGGGGACAACAGUUGGAAACGACUGCUAAUACCGCAUACGAUCUAAUCUCGGCAUCGAGGAUAGAUGAAAGGUGGCCUCUACAUGUAAGCUAUCACUGAAGGAGGGGAUUGCGUCUGAUUAGCUAGUUGGAGGGGUAAAGGCCCACCAAGGCGAUGAUCAGUAGCCGGUCUGAGAGGAUGAACGGCCACAUUGGGACUGAGACACGGCCCAGACUCCUACGGGAGGCAGCAGUGGGGAAUCUUCCGCAAUGGACGAAAGUCUGACGGAGCAACGCCGCGUGAGUGAUGACGGCCUUCGGGUUGUAAAGCUCUGUUAAUCGGGACGAAAGGCCUUCUUGCGAAUAGUGAGAAGGAUUGACGGUACCGGAAUAGAAAGCCACGGCUAACUACGUG
rnacentral:rRNA from 1 species